rnacentral:misc_RNA from 1 species
GUAAUAGUUUUAUUUUCAGUAGGUUAGUGGGUUACAAUAACUUGAAUUAGCAUCUACAAUUGUUGGUCUAACCUGUAUCCCAACAGUUAUCCCUAAAUGGUAAUUUAAAAAGAGAAAAAAAAACAUAGUUUUUUCAUCGAACUCUGUAGUGAACAUUGUGGAGCACUCCAGGAUGUAGGUUAUAAUAUCAAUAAAAAUGGUAGAGGAAGCAGUAGGAAAAUGGAAAAUAUACAAGCAGCUGCACCUAAUCCGGUGACAGGCAUGUUGCCACCGACUCUCUGUGGGCCUUACUUUGCAUACAGCGGAAAAAUCCUAACCUGUAAUAAUUGUGCCACAUAAGAAAUGCCAUUGAUAAACUUGGAAGCAAUGCCAGUUCAGCUCUAGAUAGCAAACUGAGGGUUGGUAGGUGACUUCAUUUUCCGGUGCAAGACAGCUUUUAAACACCAUUCUACAACUUUAAAUGCUAAUUGAACAUACUGUCUUAAGAGAUUUUUACCCCUAUUAGUCAGCAUAAUAUUCACGUAUACAAACAGCAAGUAGAAAGACAGCGAAUGUUCAAGCGAAUCCAUGUCACUGAAAAGACCAGCUAGCAUCUAAAAUUUCUACCCUAAAAUUGUAAUUUUUAAUAAUAAGUAAGGUUGAUAUCAUGUAUGAAACUAAGCUAUAACAUUAACUACAAACACACCAUAACCUUACAGCACAUCAUGUGUACCAGAACGGUACGAGAUCAGUGUGACUCAGGAUCAUCGAUGGGUGAGCCUUGUGUUUACUAACCUGUAAAUGGAUCACAUCAUUCUACAACAUAAUUUGGAGCCACCGCUAAUAUCCUGUCGUCUCUAGAUAAUGCCUGCCUUGCACCUUCCCCAACUGCUUCUGUCUGCCUGCCAUCAUCUACAACUAUCAAGAAGCCUUCCCUCCUUAUCAAACUCUCUAAAAUAGCUUUGAUUUUAGUGGCUUCAUUCUUUGCUUCCUCUACAGAACUGUAGCUGUUUUUCUGAUUCUGCUGUUCCACAUACCAUCUGAUCAGCUCCCCCUGCCUCAUUCCAGCCAGCCCAGUCCCAUCUCGCAUUACAGCUUCCUCAUGCUGUCUAAGGCGCAUGACCAGGGCUUGCGUAACCCUCUGAAAGUAUUCUUCGCUGAUCACAAGUUUUUUUCCUUGUUGGCUUGCUGAACCCACUCCUGUAUUUCCAGAAACUGGAACAGAAUCAGCAUUAUUUGGUAGAGCAUCACCUUGACCAGUACCAUCGUUUCCAUCAUCACCACCAUCAUUAUCAUCACGAUUUCCUUCUUGAAAUUCAGAUAGAUCAAUCUCACUGGACUCCACACUUAUAAUGGAUGUUUUCAGCAAUCUCACAGCUAAACGAACAUGGCGUGGUUGCACCUGAUUUUCCAAAUGACUUCGAGCAAUGGCUUCAGACAACCUAAUCAAUGCCUCCAGCUGUCUAACUGUCAUGCGAUAAGCAACUCUACUACCAGGAGUUGUAUCACCUUUCCGUAGGGCAACAUAUGAGUCCACUAACAGUUUUCUAGCUUCAGAAUUAAGCUUUGGUUUAAAAGUUUUUGCAUAUGCUAUGUAACGCUUUAGCUGAGCAGUUGUGAAUGCAGGCGCAAGUGCUUCUUCAUGUUUUUGAUGAACUCUUACAAUGUGAUGUGCAAUGUGGUAAUCAACUUGAUCAUCUGGAUCAUCAAUCAUCACAUAUACUAGAUCAAACCUUGAAAGAAUUGCUGGAGGAAGUGCCACAUUAUACUUAAGUGGUUUAGACUUAUCAUAUCGUCCUCCUGCAGGGUUGGCUGCAGCUAAGAUUGAUGUUCGAGCAUUAAGUGUUGCUUGUAUCCCUGCUUUCGUGAUGCUUAUUGUCUGCUGUUCCAUGGCUUCAUGAAUUGCAACCUGGUCUUUGAUGUCCAUCUUGUCAAAUUCAUCAAUGCAACAAAUGCCAUUGUCAGCAAGCAUCAGUGCACCAGCCUCAAUACAAAAUUCCCCAGUUUCUGGUUCUUUGGCAACUGUUGCAGUCAAGCCAGCAGCAGAUGAGGACUUGCCAGAUGUAUAGACAGAUCUAGGUACUAUACCUGAAGUAUACUUGAGAAACUGAGACUUUGCACAGCUGGGAUCUCCAACUAUACAGACGUUGAUGUCCCCUCUAAGAUUAAUGCCCUCAUGAGUGAACUUGUGGACACCACCCAAAAGCAUAAGAAGGAUUGCUCGCUUGAUAUCUUGGUGACCAAACACAGUUGGAGUAAUACUAUCAACCAGCUUGUUGAAGAAAUCGGGAGUGUUUCUCAUUCUCUGAAUUUCAUCUAGCUCCUCUGCACUGAACUGCUGGUUGUCAUCUUCAUCAACAUCCUUUUUUCGAUUCCUGACGUCGGUAUCCCUUCUACCAUCACAAACCUGCACUGAAUUGGCAAUAAAUGCUAGUCUAUAGGAGAGGUCUCUCACUCCCAAGGCCCGCAGACCUCUCACACCUUCUUGUCCAACAGCAGAGUUCUUGCGCUGAGGAGCUUCUCGCCGGCAUUCUGCUCUCUCUCCCGGGGAUGCUAGUGCUAAUAUGUCUGGUAUUACAACCACAGUACCUGUGAAAAUGACCGUGUCACCAGCUCUGGCCUGUUCAACAAUAUCAUGGCGAAGAAUAACAUCCAAAGAUCUGGGAAGAGAGCCAGCAGGAAUCUCUUUGGAAGUUUCCUGCAUUCUAACCCUCUGCCAAUCAGCAAAUUUGCUCUCUUGUCUGAGUAAUGCCCAUUUUGUUCUGUUAUUGCAUGUCGCAUUCACACAGAUAGUGGGCUCAGUGUAUUUGAACUGCUGUUCAACAUUCUUAAUGACGCCACCACAUUCUAAGCACCUAAAAGUUCCUUGCAGAAGCUCAGGCCUCACCUCACUCGUGCGGGUAACAACUCCACUCACUGAUACCAGUUUGCCAAUUUCUGCAGUAGUUAGCUCUCUUAACCGCUUAGAGAAAGGGAUAUUGAAGAAGGCCACAUUGAUAUCCUUGUUAGGGUUAUCAUCAGAUAUGAAUGUAGGCUUCAGCUCCAUCACAAACCUCUUGCACGCGUUCUUCAAGUAGGGCUCGACUCUCAAGUACUCAUCAGCGAUGGCUUUCUGGAGAAGAUCAUUGAAACGCAUAACGUGAGAGAAAUCGAUGAACAUGGUAGUUGAUUCGUUAGCUCUCAUGGCUUCAAUUUCAGCCUCAUAGUACGCUUCUCCCACAUUAUUAUGCCCAUCCAAUCUAAAGCUUUUGAGAAAGUCGAGGAAAAUGCUCUCCACUCGAACAGCCUUCACGUCAACGAAGAAUCCACCAGACGCAUCCAUUUCGAUUUCGUUUUCUUGACAAAAAAAUCAGUAAAGUUCUGAAGGUAAUGGAAACCUAAUUGAGUGUUUUGAUGGAGAGGAAGAAGAAGAUGAACCAGCCUUGCCAUUUUGGC